AUUAGAAUCUAAUUAACUAAUAAUAAUUUUCAUUAAUUUUUUUAC
rnacentral:tRNA from 1 species